ensembl:lncRNA
GGGACAUUCUCAAGUGUCCCAAGACAUCAGUCACUUCAGACACAUUUGAUAAUCUGCAAGAUGUCCCCAUGACUCUAUGCCUGGAGGUCACAGCAUAGCAGCAGAGGAGUUGAUUAGAGACUGUUGUCACACGGUUGCAUCCAGUCUGAAAUUUAUGGCGUUUCCCCUGAGCUGUCACUUGGCAGGAAUGUCAGAAAUCACCUACAGUGCACAGUGGACAAUUGCCAUCCAGACUCAUGCUUGUGGAAGCUGCUCCUGUUUAGGAGUCUCAACAUCCUGAUGAAGAAGGGAGACUGGUGAGCCAGAGGUCAUGCUAGCAGCCCAGUGUGGACUCCACAAGAGUUAGGAAAGCUGCCACAAACCCAAGCGGACUCCACAAAGCAAUCGCCAUGCCUCAGUAACAGCUGCCUGUCCCCACAGUGUGGCUCCCACUGUAGGCUUCUGAGCAGAUGAUGCUAAUCAUGUAUGUUGGACCACUUACUGAUUUUUCCAGUGCUGAGGGCUGGUGGAAACCCACAUGUGGGGAUAUGCAGGGAGAGGGGUGAUGGGAUGCUUGUUCUGUGUCCUGUCCUUUCUAGCCUGAUGAAGGAAUAAACUAGCAAA